UAAAGUAAGAAAGAGCGUAUGGCGGAUGCCUAGGCACAGAGAGGCGAAGAAGGACGCAGCAAACAGCGAAAUGCGACGGUUAGCAGUAAGCAUGCAACGAUCCGUCGAUGUCCGAAUGGGGGAACCCACCUGGAGUAGAGACCAGGUAUCCUGAAGUGAAUAAAUAGCUUCAGAGAGGCGAGACUCAGGGAACUGAAACAUCUAAGUACCUGAAGGAAGAGAAAAUAAACGAAUGAUUCCCUAAGUAGCGGCGAGCGAAAGGGGAAGAGCCCAAACCGAUCUUAGGAUCGGGGUUGUAGGACUGUCGGCAAAGAGCAAGAAAUCAUUAUAGGCGAACGGAAUGGGAAGUCCGGCGAAACAGGGUGACAGCCCCGUAGCCGAAAUAGUGAAGAAGCACGAGACAGCACCUGAGUACGGCGGGACACGAGGAAUCCUGUCGGAAUCCACCAGGACCAUCUGGUAAGGCUAAAUACUCCUCUGUGACCGAUAGUGAACCAGUACCGUGAGGGAAAGGUGAAAAGAACCCCGGGAGGGGAGUGAAAUAGAACCUGAAACCAUAUGCUUACAAGAAGUUAGAGCCCGUUAAAGGGUGAUAGCGUGCCUUUUGUAGAAUGAACCGGCGAGUUACGAUAUGGAGCGAGGUUAAGCAGGAUAUGCGGAGCCGAAGCGAAAGCGAGUCUUAACAGGGCGAAAGUUGCAUGUCGUAGACCCGAAACCGAGUGAUCUAGCCAUGACCAGGUUGAAGUUGGGGUAAAACCCGAUGGAGGACCGAACCGACCCCCGUUGAAACGUUGGCGGAUGAGUUGUGGCUAGGGGUGAAAUUCCAAUCGAACUCGGAGAUAGCUGGUUCUCCCCGAAAUAGCUUUAGGGCUAGCGUCGAGGUAAAGUCGUGUGAAGGUAGAGCACUGAAUAUGUGAUGGCCCCAUCUCGGGGUACUGAACAUAAUCAAACUCCGAAUGUCACAAAGAUAUACUCGGCAGUCAGACAGUGGGUGAUAAGGUCCAUUGUCAAAAGGGAAACAGCCCAGACCAUCAGCUAAGGUCCCAAAAUAUAUACUAAGUGGAAAAGGAUGUGGAGAUGUCCAGACAACUAGGAGGUUGGCUCAGAAGCAGCCAUCCUUUAAAGAGUGCGUAACAGCUCACUAGUCGAAUGACUCUGCGCCGAUAAUUUACCGGGGCUAAGUAUAUUACCGAAGCUAUGGAUUUACGCGUAAGCGUGAGUGGUAGGGGAGCGUUCUAUGUGCGGAGAAGCGGUACCGUAAGGAGCCGUGGAGCGCAUAGAAGAGAGAAUGCCGGUGUGAGUAGCGAAACGUGGGUGAGAAUCCCACGCACCGAAAACCCAAGGUUUCCAGAGGAAGGUUCGUCCGCUCUGGGUAAGUCGGGACCUAAGGCGAGGCCGAGAGGCGUAGUCGAUGGACAACAGGUAGAGAUUCCUGUACUUACGGUAUGAAUGAUGGAGUGACGGAGAAGGCUAGCGGAUCCUGCUGAUGGAAAUGCAGGUGCAAGCGAGGUAGCCGACAGCCAGGCAAAUCCGGCUGUCGAAAGGCAAAGGCGUGAGGCGUAUGGAAAGCUGCGGCAAGUACAGAAGUCCGUGAAGCCAGCUUCCAAGAAAAGCUUCUAGUGAUAAUCAUACAGUAACCCGUACCGAAAAUGGACACACAUGGGUGAGGAGAGAAUCCUAAGGUGAGCGAGAGAACUAUAGCUAAGGAACUCUGCAAAAUGACUCCGUAACUUAGGGAUAAGGAGUGCUCAUAGAGAUAUGAGCCGCAGUGAAACGGCCCAAGCGACUGUUUACCAAAAACACAGCUCUAUGCUAAGUCGAAAGACGACGUAUAUGGGGUGACGCCUGCCCGGUGCUGGAAGGUUAAGAGGAUGUGUCAGCGCAAGCGAAGCGUUGAAUUGAAGCCCCAGUAAACGGCGGCCGUAACUAUAACGGUCCUAAGGUAGCGAAAUUCCUUGUCAGGUAAGUUCUGACCCGCACGAAAGGCGUAACGAUUUGGGCGCUGUCUC
rnacentral:rRNA from 1 species